rnacentral:rRNA from 1 species
GAUGAACGCUGGCGGCGUGCUUAACACAUGCAAGUCGAACGGUAAGGCCCUGCUUUUGUGGUGUGCUCGUGUGGAGAACGGGUGUGUAACACGUGUAUAACCUGCCCUUGACUUUGGUAUAACUUCAGGACACUGGGGAUUAUACCGGAUAGGCGCUUCUGCCGCAUGGUGGGGGUUGGAAAGUUUCGGCGGUUGGGGAUGGACUCGCGGCUUAUCAGCUUGUUGGUGGGGUAGUGGCUUACCAAGGCUUUGACGGGUAGCCGGCCUGAGAGGGGGACCGGCCAAAAUGGGAAUUAGGGACGGGCCAGACUCCUACGGGAGGCAGCAGGGGGGAAUAAUGGACAAUGGGCGGAAGGCUGAAGGAGGAGCGCCGGGGUCGGGAAGACGGCCUUUGGGGUUGAAACCGCUUUCGCGUGGGGCGGAGGCGGAGGGACGGGAACGGGUAAAGGAAGACCGGCUAACUACGUU